AACAGACUCACUCACUUGCCGUCAAGUGUACAACAACAACGUAAAACGUUGGCCAACCAAAAAGCAACCCCAGUAUGCUAUGACCAACAUUGACCAGGAGAUGGCAAGAUACACACAUAGACCAAUCUAUUACAGCCACCCGCCUUUAAAAUUAAAAAUAAGAAGAAAAAAAGUGUCAGCGGUCUACCUGUUUACAUGCGCACUUUGAAAUUGGAGUCGUUGGAAAUCUUUUAAACUUAAACUGACUCCGCCAUAGCUGAGAUAGGCGCCAGCGCCCCCCGCGACCCCGAAAGGGAAUAAGCGGUAGAAAAUGGAUGGAUGGGGAUGACUCCGCCAUGGAUGAAGAUGGACGUGCUUUCUCGAGCAUGGACCGUACAACAGUUGCAGGGUCGAAAGGGCCUGAAAGACAGCCUACAGAACCAGACCAGACACUACAAAGUUCUACAGGAGCUAUACAAAUCCAGGCCCAGACCUAACAAUAAGGAUGUUGCCUAGCUGUUGGACCUUGAAUAUCAAGCAAGAUGGACUUACAUUGACUCUGAUGUUUUGAAGAAGGACAAACCUACCAAGAUCCUUCAAAAAAGUGGAUCAUAUAAUGGCUGAACUUUAGCGGAUGCGUAGUCAAAGAAAUUCUCACUUCAUGCCUGAACUGAAGAACCGCUGGAGGACAUUUUGUGAGAAGAUUCAGUUUUAUGAAGUUUUCAAUAAAAAUCACAAGACCCCCACUUGCAGAUGAAGCAAAGCAAGCGGUUGCGAUGAUAAAGGCUUUGCCAGACAUCUUUCUAUCCCCUACUGCUCCCCCAAAUAAGUUGGGGCUUCCAUGUGGGGCCAUACAUCACAUCCUUGAGGUAAAAAAUGUUGUAUGACAUUUUUUCCUGUACUUUACAGCAGGGCUAUUCAACUGUGUUGUUAAGGGGCCACAUUUUUAGAAGGCCAAGUGCCAAGGGGGGUAGACAUUUUCCUGUUGUUUUUUUUUUUUGCACACAGUCUUUCAGCAUUUUGAUGAUGGCCAAUAAUUAUUAUGUUAUGUUACUAUGCACCUUGAAUAUAAUAAAGAGGUGAAAAGAAA